UACGGGGGGGGCAAGCGUUGUUCGGAAUUACUGGGCGUAAAGGGCUCGUAGGCGGCCAACUAAGUCAUACGUGAAAUCCCUCGGCUUAACCGGGGAACUGCGUCUGAUACUGGAUGGCUUGAGAUUGGGAGAGGGAUGCGGAAUUCCAGGUGUAGCGGUGAAAUGCGUAGAUAUCAGGAGGAACACCGGUGGCGAAGGCGGGUCUCUGGGCCGUAACUGACGCUGAGGAGCGAAAGCGUGGGGAGCGAACAGG
rnacentral:rRNA from 1 species